GAUGAACGCUGGCGGCGUGCUUAACACAUGCAAGUCGAACGGAAAGGCCCAAGCUUGCUUGGGUACUCGAGUGGCGAACGGGUGAGUAACACGUGGGUGAUCUGCCCUGCACUUCGGGAUAAGCCUGGGAAACUGGGUCUAAUACCGGAUAGGACCACAUUUUGGAUGGUGUGGUGGAAAGUUUUUCGGUGUGGGAUGAGCUCGCGGCCUAUCAGCUUGUUGGUGGGGUAAUGGCCUACCAAGGCGUCGACGGGUAGCCGGCCUGAGAGGGUGUACGGCCACAUUGGGACUGAGAUACGGCCCAGACUCCUACGGGAGGCAGCAGUGGGGAAUAUUGCACAAUGGGCGCAAGCCUGAUGCAGCGACGCCGCGUGGGGGAUGACGGCCUUCGGGUUGUAAACUCCUUUCGCUAGGGACGAAGCGCAAGUGACGGUACCUAGAGAAGAAGCACCGGCUAACUACGUG
rnacentral:rRNA from 1 species